AACGAACGCUGGCGGCAGGCCUAACACAUGCCAGUCGAGCGCCCCGCCAGGGGGGCGGCGGACGGGUGAGUAACGCGUGGGAACGUACCCUUUGCUACGGAAUAGCCUCGGGAAACUGGGAGUAAUACCGUAUGUGUCCUUCGGGAGAAAGAUUUAUCGGCAAGGGAUCGGCCCGCGUUGGAUUAGGUAGUUGGUGGGGUAAUGGCCUACCAAGCCGACGAUCCAUAGCUGGUUUGAGAGGAUGAUCAGCCACACUGGGACUGAGACACGGCCCAGACUCCUACGGGAGGCAGCAGUGGGGAAUCUUAGACAAUGGGCGCAAGCCUGAUCUAGCCAUGCCGCGUGAGCGAUGAAGGCCUUAGGGUUGUAAAGCUCUUUCAGGGGGGAAGAUAAUGACUGUACCCCCAGAAGAAGCCCCGGCUAACUCCGUG
rnacentral:rRNA from 1 species